ensembl:misc_RNA Metazoa_SRP Metazoan signal recognition particle RNA
GCCAGGUGUGGUGGUGCACACCUGUAGUCCCAGUCACUUGGGAGGCUGAGGUGGGAGGAUCACUUGAGCCCAGGAGGUUGAGUCUGUAGUGAGCCAAGAUUGUGCCACUGCACUCCAGCCUGGGCGAUAGAAUGAGACCCUGUCUCAA